AGCGGGUCUCUUCCCGGGGUUGUGAAGUUGAUAACUGGUGGUAGGCGAGAGAGCUCCCCCUUCCGCCCGCCGUGUCCGUUUUAGGAGAGAUUGUCUUCUAUACCUGCUCAAACACCUGAUUGUCGGUUAGCCUCCGUCUCCCCAGCUAGAAGAGCGAUCGGAGUCAGCUCUGCUUCCUGUAUUAGUUGAGGUUCUCCAGAGGAGAGGGGACAGGAUAUGUACCCGGAAAGAGAGGUUAGUUUUAAGGGUGGGCUCUGUUAACCUUAAAAGUAAUACAAAAAUAAUAAAACAGUUAUUUUACCAGCAAAGAUGGGAUUAUUUGGGAAUAGCAGAGGCUUGCUUGGCAGGGUAAGUAGACUUGCCAGAACCAGGGGCAAGUCUGGAAAACGGGGAGAGGAGAGGGAGCUGUAAGCGAGACACAUGGAUGACACCAGGUGCUGGUGACACCAGGUGCUGGACACAAGUCAGACGGUGAAGUCAUUAUUCGCAGCAACAAUAAAUUAAGUAAAAACUGCAUAAACAAUAGAGGACUCGAUAUAUUUGCAGUAGAAGUGGCUCCAAAGUCUACAAUAGUUUGUCAACAUGUGAUGCCUCUGCGGGAACGACAGGACUGGGCUUUAUUAUUAAAAUAUAAAUAAAUAAAGGAAAGAGGGAAGUGUGAUGCUCUCUCAUUGGCUGGGCUGUUGCUGGAGCAGCAGGAAACCUUCCUGUUGCUGGUGAUGCAAUUUUCUACCAGGAGGACCCUCCCAAAGGAAAGCCAAAAGGAUGCUUUUCAGCCAAAAGAAAAGUGAUCACAGGUUGUAAAGCCAAAAUCUAAGAAGGAGCACAGAGCAAAGAAAGUGGUACAUAAGUGAGAAAAUCUAAUUGUACAAAAUAACACUGAGUCUUGUAUGACAAAAAGAGAGAAUUUUUAAAACAGUUGAAUUUUACAUUUUCAUUUAAAAGGUUCGGGGCACCUGGGUGGC